rnacentral:rRNA from 1 species
AGAGUUUGAUCAUGGCUCAGGACGAACGCUGGCGGCGUGCUUAACACAUGCAAGUCGAACGGAAAGGCCCUUCGGGGUACUCGAGUGGCGAACGGGUGAGUAACACGUGGGUGAUCUGCCCUGCACUUUGGGAUAAGCCUGGGAAACUGGGUCUAAUACCGAAUAUGACCAUGCGCCUCCUGGUGUGUGGUGGAAAGCUUUUGCGGUGUGGGAUGGGCCCGCGGCCUAUCAGCUUGUUGGUGGGGUAAUGGCCUACCAAGGCGACGACGGGUAGCCGGCCUGAGAGGGUGACCGGCCACACUGGGACUGAGAUACGGCCCAGACUCCUACGGGAGGCAGCAGUGGGGAAUAUUGCACAAUGGGCGCAAGCCUGAUGCAGCGACGCCGCGUGAGGGAUGACGGCCUUCGGGUUGUAAACCUCUUUCAGCACAGACGAAGCGCAAGUGACGGUAUGUGCAGAAGAAGGACCGGCCAACUACGUGCCAGCAGCCGCGGUAAUACGUAGGGUCCGAGCGUUGUCCGGAAUUACUGGGCGUAAAGAGCUCGUAGGUGGUUUGUCGCGUUGUUCGUGAAAACUCACAGCUUAACUGUGGGCGUGCGGGCGAUACGGGCAGACUUGAGUACUGCAGGGGAGACUGGAAUUCCUGGUGUAGCGGUGGAAUGCGCAGAUAUCAGGAGGAACACCGGUGGCGAAGGCGAGUCUCUGGGCAGUAACUGACGCUGAGGAGCGAAAGCGUGGGGAGCGAACAGGAUUAGAUACCCUGGUAGUCC